CCUACGGGAGGCAGCAGUGGGGAAUAUUGCACAAUGGGCGCAAGCCUGAUGCAGCGACGCCGCGUGCGGGAUGGAGGCCUUCGGGUUGUAAACCUCUUUUGUUCGAGGGCAAGGCACGGUCUUUUGCCGUGUUGUGUGGUUUGUUUGCAUACGCACCGGCUAACUACGUGCCAGCAGCCGCGGUACUACGUAGGGGGCAAGCGUUAUCCGGAUUUCUUGGGCGGAAAGCGUUCGUAGGCGGUUCGUCGCGUCCGGUGUGAAAGUCCAUCGCUUAACGGUGGAUCCGCGCCGGAUACUGGCGGGCUUGAGUGCGGUAGGGGAGAGUGGAAUUCCCGGUGUAACGGUGGAAUGUGUAGAUAUCGGGAAGAACACCAGUGGCGAAGGCAGGUCUCUGGGCCGUGACUGACGCUGAGGAGCGAAAGCGUGGGGAGCGAACAGGAUUAGAUACCCUUGUAGUC
rnacentral:rRNA from 1 species